UACCAGCACCCCCGAGUGGUCGGGACGUUUUAUUGGGCCUAAAGCAUCCGUAGCCGGUUCUACAAGUCUUCCGUUAAAUCCAACUGCUUAACAGGUGGGCUGCGGAAGAUACUAUAGAGCUAGGAGGCGGGAGAGGCAAGCGGUACUCGAUGGGUAGGGGUAAAAUCCGUUGAUCCAUUGAAGACCACCAGUGGCGAAGGCGGCUUGCCAGAACGCGCUCGACGGUGAGGGA
rnacentral:rRNA from 1 species